GACGUAGGAGGCGAGCGUUGUCCGGAUUCAUUGGGCGUAAAGAGCGCGCAGGCGGCUUGGUAAGUCGGAUGUGAAAUCCCGAGGCUCAACCUCGGGUCUGCAUCCGAUACUGCCCGGCUAGAGGUAGGUAGGGGAGAUCGGAAUUCCUGGUGUAGCGGUGAAAUGCGCAGAUAUCAGGAGGAACACCGGUGGCGAAGGCGGAUCUCUGGGCCUUACCUGACGCUCAGGCGCGAAAGCGUGGGUAGCAAACAGG
rnacentral:rRNA from 1 species